rnacentral:lncRNA from 1 species
CUGACCUUUACACUGUCACGUUGAUCAUUGAGUGUGGUCUUUCCUGGGAGAGGCACGCCCUGUUUGAGGCCUCGAUCUGCAGCUGAGGCUAACCCUUAAGUGGCUGGCAGCUUGAAGCUGUCCACUGGGCCCUCCCAACAGCAGGGGUAAAAAGUGCGGGAUGUGGGUAGCACACACCUGUGUCCAUCACAUGGAGCGUGUGAAGCGCAAUCACCAGAAUGUAGUGGCUGAGGCAGGGGACCUGAGAUUCUAACUGCUUCCUAUUAGGACUCUUGACCAGGGUCCUGUUUUCUUCAUGAUUUUCACACUGCCCCUUGGCACCUGGACUCUGAGCUCUUCUGGGCUGCUGUAUGUGAGAACCGGCUCAUGACUCAUGAGCAUCGUCCUCUGCAGGUGCAGAGAUUUCAGAGUUUCCACUCUGCUAGUGAAUUAGAAAUGAGGGUGCUGCUUAUCUCUUUCAAUUGUUGAGGAUGCUUUGAUAUUUCCGUCCCACAACUAUUCUCCUCUCCAAAAAUUCUUUGUUACCUUGUUCUUUUACAAUUUUAAACACCCUUUUGGAGCUCUUUUCAAAGAGUUUUUUCAGGAAAGAAAUAACGAUGUCACAGGUGAAACAGGCUUAGUCUAAAGAGGAAGGAAGCUUGUCUCUCCAAUUACCUUCCCUGCAGACUCUUGGCCUGGAUCGAUGCAAUCAGCCUGGUCUUGACCGGUGCCUACCCUGCAGAGCAGUGCAGGAACUACCACCGGGUCACGUGGCAUCGCUGUCUGGGACACCGUGCUGUGGGUCACAGGGCCCUGUGCUCUUCUACUUUUGUGACUCUGAUGUUUUCUUCAAGCACAAAGAUUUCGUUUCAGGAAAAAGGAUGGAGGAGUUAACACGGCAGACCAGAGGAGACGUUUCACCACAGGCUGUCCUCACCGUGUCAACAACACUGCCUCCAGCCUCCUCUCUGGUUUCAGUUCUCUCCUGCGGUUGAAUUGAAGUGGCUUCUAUGUGGUCCACACCACAGCACAUUUUGAGUGGAUUCCUCGCUAAAAACGCUAUUUGGAAUCCUUGUGCUGAAACUCAAAAUCCCGAGAAAUGUGCCCAGAUUCAGAGUUUUCAGUCUUGCUGGCUGAGCUGUAGGAGACAGACAUU